GUCGGAUGGGAGAUUUCCCUUUGUGCAAGGGAGGCUGGUCUUUUGGUUCUGUUCUGGUGGUCUUCACUGAUUGGAUGAGACCCAUCCACAUUGUGAAAGGCAACCUGUUCUACUCAAAGUUCACUGGUUCAAGAGUUAAUCUCAUCCCAAUAUGCACCAAAUUAACACAAGAUUCAUCAUCUCCGUCAGCAAGGCUGGCAGCAGAGAGAAGAGCAAUGUGAGGGAGAACAAGGACCAGCGUCUCUGCCUUUGUCUCUUCUUGCGUCUCAUGAUGGUGAUCUUCAAAGAUCAGCGGCUGCCGCUCACUGCUGACUUCCAAAGCUUGUUCGAGUUUCACAGAAGAGAGUUCUGGGAGAGGCUAGCAGAUUCCUUGGUAAGACUGCUGUAAGACCUCCUUCUCUUUGUGCCAUCUUCAAACCAGCUCUCUGGUGGCGCAGCUGAACUUCUCCCGGAUGGUUGUCUCAGUUCCUACUUUUCAUCACCUGGAUGAAAACAAUACCUGGCAACUACAACUUGUGAUCCUCCUGAUUCAGCCUCC
rnacentral:lncRNA from 1 species